rnacentral:rRNA from 1 species
UACGAAGGGGGCUAGCGUUGUUCGGAAUUGCUGGGCGUAAAGCGCGAGUAGGCAGGCCGUUAAGUCGGGGGUGUAAGCCCAGAGCUCAACUCUGGAAUUGCCUUAGAUACUGGCGGCCUGGAGCAUGAUAGAGGCGAGUGGAAUUGCGAGUGUAGAGGUGAAAUUCGUAGAUAUUCGCAGGAACACCAGUGGCGAAGGCGACUCGCUGGAUCAUUGCUGACGCUGAGACGCGCAAGCGUGGGGAGCAAACAGG